rnacentral:rRNA from 1 species
UACGUAGGGGGCUAGCGUUGUCCGGAAUCAUUGGGCGUAAAGAGCGUGUAGGCGGCCCGGUAAGUCCGCUGUGAAAGUCGGGGGCUCAACCCUCGAAUGCCGGUGGAUACUGUCGGACUAGAGUACGGAAGAGGCGAGUGGAAUUCCUGGUGUAGCGGUGAAAUGCGCAGAUAUCAGGAGGAACACCAAUUGCGAAGGCAGCUCGCUGGGACGUUACUGACGCUGAGACGCGAAAGCGUGGGGAGCAAACAGG